AGCUUUUUCGUCCUCGUCCCCGGUUGUUGCUCACUGUGAGCGUCUGUAGGGUGAAACGUGGGUGAGAAGGUCCCGGUGCGCGCCCGCUCCCAACGCGUCCCGUCACCAUGCCUCGGAAAAUUGAGAAAAUCAAGGACUUUCUGCCCACAGCCCGACGAAAAGAUGCCAAAUCUGUCAAGAUCAAGAAAAAUAAGGACAAUGUGAAGUUUAAAGUUCGAUGCAGGAGAUACAGUUACACCCUGGUCAUCACUGACAAGGAGAGGCAGAGAAACUGAAGCAGUCCCUGCCCCCUGGUUUGGCAGUGAAGGAACUGGAACCAAAACACACUGAUCUGACCUGUAUUUUAAUAAAAACUAAAAAUCCUAAAAAAAAAAAAAAAAGAAAA